rnacentral:rRNA from 1 species
GACGAACGCUGGCGGCGUGCUUAACACAUGCAAGUCGAACGGAAAGGCCCUGCUUUUGUGGGGUGCUCGAGUGGCGAACGGGUGGGUAACACGUGAGUAACCUGCCCUUGACUUUGGGAUAACUUCAGGAAACUGGGGCUAAUACCGGAUAGGAGCUCCUGCUGCAUGGUGGGGGUUGGAAAGUUUCGGCGGUUGGGGAUGGACUCGCGGCUUAUCAGCUUGUUGGUGGGGUAGUGGCUUACCAAGGCUUUGACGGGUAGCCGGCCUGAGAGGGUGACCGGCCACAGUGGGACUGAGAUACGGCCCAGACUCCUACGGGAGGCAGCAGUGGGGAAUAUUGCACAAUGGGCGGAAGCCUGAUGCAGCAACGCCGCGUGCGGGAUGACGGCCUUCGGGUUGUAAACCGCUUUCGCCUGUGACGAAGCGUGAGUGACGGUAAUGGGUAAAGAAGCACCGGCUAACUACGUG